AUCCACACAAGUUACUGCUGUUCACAUUUUACCCUAAGCAUACAUUCAUCUAUCCUACAAAAUGUGGAGGCAAAUUGUAUUUGCUGUUCUUCUGGCUUCACCCGCUUUCACUUUGGAUUUUAAAAAGUGCUACAUGUCUCCUGCUCCUGAGACAGUGGAUAUUGGGAGAGAUGCGUGUGUUUUCGUUAUCGGCCAAGUAGCUCACAGCACAGUUACAUUCAAAGCCCCUGCUGCCAGCAAGACUUUGAAAGCAACAGCUUUGGGUACUUUUGAUGUGUUUGAUGACGAUAAAGCUUGCAGCUCUCUUACAAAAGGUUCCUGCCCUAUUGUAGCUGGACAAGAAUACAUCUACAAAUUCAAUGUCACCGCUACAGAAAAGCUGAAGGGUGGACUGGACUUUAUCUUCACUCUGCACGGUGACGAAGGCCAACUUAUCACAUGUUACCGAGUGGAGUGCGAAGUCAAAGAGAAUAAGUUUCUAACAAGCUCAUGAGAAACUCGCUACGAAAUUUAAUUUUAAGUACAUGAUGUUACCUGGAUAAUGCUCUAAGGUGUUUGUACAAAUAGGUUCUGAAAGAGCUUUUAGUUAAACCUAUUACAAAAAUUUUAGUGUACUCAAAUGAUUGGAUGAAAAUAAAUUAAGGGAAAAAAU